UGGUAACAAUACAUUGAUUGUAAUGGUGCCUUUUUUGAUUAACAAAGAUGUGUUUGAGCCUGGUUAUAAUGAUUUAAAAUUCAUGGUCCAAAACUGCUAUUACUUUUGCACCAGC
rnacentral:miRNA from 1 species